rnacentral:rRNA from 1 species
UAAGGAAUAUUGGUCAAUGGACGGAAGUCUGAACCAGCCAUGCCGCGUGCAGGAAGACGGCCUUAUGGGUUGUAAACUGCUUUUAUAUCGGAAAAACCCCCUUUACGAGAUAGAGGGCUGAUUGUACGAUAAGAAUAAGGAUCGGCUAACUCCGUGCCAGCAGCCGCGGUAAUACGGAGGAUCCGAGCGUUAUCCGGAUUUAUUGGGUUUAAAGGGUGCGUAGGCGGGCAUAUAAGUCAGUGGUGAAAUCCUUCAGCUUAACUGAAGAACAGCCAUUGAUACUGUAAGUCUUGAGUACAGACGAAGUGGGCGGAAUGUGUAAUGUAGCGGUGAAAUGCAUAGAUAUUACACAGAACACCGAUAGCGAAGGCAGCUCACUAGGCUGAAACUGACGCUGAGGCACGAAAGCGUGGGGAUCAAACA